rnacentral:rRNA from 1 species
GGAAUCUUCGGCAAUGGACGAAAGUCUGACCGAGCAACGCCGCGUGAGUGAAGAAGGUUUUCGGAUCGUAAAACUCUGUUGGUAGAGAAGAACGUUGGUGAGAGUGGAGAGCUCAUCAAGUGACGGUAACUACCCAGAAAGGGACGGCUAACUACGUGCCAG